rnacentral:rRNA from 1 species
CCUACGGGGGGCAGCAGUGGGGAAUUUUGGACAAUGGGCGCAAGCCUGAUCCAGCAAUGCCGCGUGCAGGAAGAAGGCCUUCGGGUUGUAAACUGCUUUUGUGAACCGGUCGGUACCGUAAGAAUAAGCACCGGCUAACUACGUGCCAGCAGCCGCGGUAAUACGUAGGGUGCGAGCGUUAAUCGGAAUUACUGGGCGUAAAGCGUGCGCAGGCGGUUAUGUAAGACAGAUGUGAAAUCCCCGGGCUCAACCUGGGAAUUGCGUCUGUGACUGCAUAGCUAGAGUACGGUAGAGGGGGAUGGAAUUCCGCGUGUAGCAGUGAAAUGCGUAGAUAUGCGGAGGAACACCGAUGGCGAAGGCAAUCCCCUGGCCGUACUGACGCUCAUGCACGAAAGCGGGGGAGCAAACAGGAUUAGAUACCUUGUAGUC